GGGAGGGAAGACCACGAGGAGAGAGUAGAAGUGAAGGGUUCACUGUGCGAUAGCGACUGCAGUGGACACAGAGCGCGCGCUGCCUGACCACUGCUUCAUCGCGAGGAAGAAGAUGAGGACCAUCUCUAUAGAGACGCGGGAACAUGUCACUCCUGUCCCUGAAGGAAGCUGUACAGCUCCAGUGUUUGGAGAAGUUUCGUGAGUAACUGGAAAUUCUUGAGUAUGAAAGGCGUAUUUUCCUUCAGUGGCAUUAUUCUCACUGCACUGUGAGACGCUCAGUGUGUGUGUGUGUGUGUGUGUGUGUGUGUGUGUUUGUGGGUUGUCAGUGUGUGUGUGUGUGUGUGUGUGUGUGUGUGUGUGUGUGUGUGUGUGUGUGUGUGUGUGUAUGUGUGUCUGUGUCUGUCUGAAACGCGAGUCUGCAGCUCUUUAGCGACACCUGCCGGAUCAAUCAUGCGCCUCACUGUGAACUCUAGUUAAAUUAAAAUAAAGAAACUGAUAUCGUGAGAGAAAUACAGAUAUCGACGAAAUUUGUUUUGAAUUAAUUAUAUUUAUUUGAACAAAGCUUGUCAUGAGCCAAUUACGAAGAGCGAAAUGAACAGAUUACGAAGAGUUUGCGCAUACGAUACAUUUUUUGUUUGUUUUAUUCGGUUUUGUUUCAUAAAUUAUAAUGUUUUAGUAUCUUUUGCUGUUGUUGAGUGCUCCACGCUAUCUUCUACAAUUAGAGAAGGUUCAUUUCAAAAUUACGCGAUUAUAUUUCACGUGUCUUUUUUCCCCUAACAUUAAUUCCAUUAAUUCCAUUAAUGUUAGAUGUAGACAUUACUAUAUUUAACAUCACUGAUAGGUCAAAAAUAUGUAUAAUUAUUUUCUUAACAAUAAAUGUAUUAAUAUGCAUCACACAGUGAAAAGGGAGUACGAAUUCUUAACGCUUUGUUAUUAUUGCGAUUAAUUAUCCUUUUCUACAUUUAGGAAGUGCAAUAUAUCCGAUGUUAUCUUAGAUUUAAAGAAAAGCGGGGGAAACCAUAUAUAGUCCUUACUGUACUAAAUAAAAUAGUAGCCUAUAUUAUGGCUAAUAAACGAACAAGCAAUAAAUAAAAAAAUAAGCGAUAAAUAAAUAAAACUCAUUAUAGCGCCUGCUGAAAUCCGACCAACUCUUGUAAAAUAAACAUGUAUUUUGAAACAGGGCUAUAUAUGUCAAAAGAUUUCUGUGUCCACAUGAAGAAUAUUAAACGAAAGAAAUGCUCGAUUACUAAUGAUCUGGGGAUAACAGGCUAAUGUGUUAUUUGUGUCGCGCGUCUCGUGUGCGUUAAGAGGCUUAAAGCUCUGACACCUUUACAUUAAAUUCACCCAACACCUUUAAUUUACUCCACUCAUAUCCCGCAACAAGAAGAAAGUCAUUACGACACGUAUUUUACGUAUUUUCUCUGAUUAGAGCAGAUUUGUUUUUUUUUGUUUUUUUUUUUGUGGAGAUUGUUUUUAUUUAUUUAUUUUUUAUUUUAGGCUACUAUACAGGCCAGUAUGUGGCGAGUAUUUCUAAUAAAUUGUUGCCAUGUAAAAAAAAAUGCCUACAUUUAAAGUAUGGAUAAGCCAAAAGUUCUUUUAUUUUUUAUAGGCUAUAUAUAAAAAUAAUAAUAGUAAUAUAUAGUAGGCUAUUAAUAUUUUUUAAGAAAUGCGCUUAACGCUACAAGGGGUUAAAGUUUUGCACGUAGAUUAGAGUUUUAAUGACUGCGUGUCAAAACAGGUCGAAACACGAGCCACGCCCACUUAGUUCACUGACAACUCAUUAGCGCUAAUUAUUUGCUUCCAGGCUAGAGGACAAAUGCAUAUCGUUCGUGGCUUAUUGGUAAUUCGUUGCAGUGCAGGUAUUCCAAAUAUACCGUGUGUUCAUACACGUAACUAUAACAAAGCGCCACUUUCCACAGGUUCACUCAUUAUGCAGCUCCAGGAAUCACGGGCCCCCUCAGGACUCCUGCUUUCCCGCUAUUUAAACAAAAACCCGACAUAGCGCAUGCUAAGAAGAACUGUUUUCCAUCUCCACUGUUCAAAUUAAAGGUGUAAAAUCCACAUAGCUGUUCGCGAUGUGUUCAAAUAAAUGCCGUUGCCUUCUUUGUUGUUGUUUUGUUUUUCUAACAUCUUCCCAUUUGACGGUAUCUCCCUUGGUUCUGGGAGAGUUUACACGAUCAAGCAGGGGAGCCAGGUAAUUACCACACACUGUCAAACACAGGGACCAGUGAUUCAAAUGCAGAGUGAAGUAUCAAAGAGGAGCGUUCCGUUCGCAGGCGGCCCCAGAUCUCCAGGAGACGCCCGCCACAGGGACAGCGCGAGGAUGUGACAGCACUUACAUUACAGCCCUGCGUGCCUCUCUACUGCUGCUGACCCCGAACUAUUGCUGGUGUACAACACAACCACGGAAACCAUUCAGAGUCGGGUUUAAAAUGCCAGUUUUACAGGAACAUUGAUUUUAAUACUGCUUGCGGUGAAAAAGUAUCCAUGCAGUUGCUACCUUAAUUUCUGCCUUAUUUAACCCAUCACUAGUUUUGUUGGUAUAACUUCGUGUAGACCCUUGCGAAAAUUAACCAUGGUUUUAUUAUAGUAAAAGUAUAGUAACCAUGUUUAUUUUAUUUACUUAUUUUUGGGCGUAUUGAUUACAAUUUGCAUAACCACAUUUUUACUACAAAUACCAUGAUUAAACUAAGUUUGUAGCAAAAGCAUGGUUAAUAUGUGGUUACCGUGGUUUAAAUCUGGUUUGUUGGUUUCCUUUGUAAUAAAACCAUGGUUCAUUUUUUGUAAGGGGUAUGUACUCCCCUAGUAUUUUUGACUUUUGUUAAACCGGUUAAUUUAGAUUUUUUACUGCAGAUUUAAGCCUAUAUUAAGAUCAUAACGAAUAAUGUAAACGUACGCAUGAUGACGUAUUUCCGCUCAUGUUACAGCCACAGCUGUUGAUUUAAUCGUAAGAAUCCAAAGAUGUGACACAUUCCACCAAAAAUAAAUGCUUGUAAAAUGUAUUGCACAUUUUCCUCAAAUGCACAAUGCAAUAAUCUCACUCAGUUGCAUCUCGAGGAAUUGUAAUUUAUUUAGUCAAAAUUAAACGAUGAGGCAAGUUAAAAAAAAAAAAAAUUGCAGUGGCCCAGUUGGUGUGCAAAACUGUUGGAAUCUUAAUCCAGUCUGGAGGGACGUUUGAGUGUUUAACAUUAUAAACAUGCCCCCCUCCUCCAGCUCCGAGGGAUACUUUACAUGUAAAUAUUCACACAGCCAAAGAGCAGGCCAUGAAUUAUUGAGAGCUGCAAAGAAGUAAAAUGUCUCUGUGUUCAAGCUCAAGAAUGGACAGAAGAGAGAAUUAUCUGAAAGAAAAGAUAUUUGGUGAAUGAUGAAAUAAAGCCUAUGGUUAUUUCUAACCACACACAUAUAGAGGCACAUCUAUAGGGGUUUAUGUGUGUGUGUGUGUGUGUGUGUGUGUGUGUGUACAGGCCUAUAUGUGAAUCUACACGGACAAAAGUCACACGUCAAAACUUCAUCAAAAAAAGUCCAAGUUUCCUGGUGAAGUGAGUUGGGCUGAGUUCUGGCUGUUCUCGUCUUUGUUGUGUUCUGGCCUGUGGCUGAACACUUGACAGACUGUCAGGAGCUGAUGGGAUAUGAGUGCAGGCACUAGAAAGCUGUUCAUUUCUGUGGUUGAUUCACCACUCCAUUCUUUAUUAUCAAACAGGUAACACUAACACAGCAGAGCUAGAGAAACACAAAUGGGACUAUUUGUGAUUAUUGUGUUUGUGAACACACAAAUGUGAUGCAUGAAGUAUAGACAGAAUGCUUUUCAGUGUUUACAUGUAUGUACGGUGGAAUUAUGAUCUUACAAGAAUUGAGCAUUGCUAUUAUAAAGCAGAACUAAAGAUUUAAUGUUCAGGCAUUCUCAACUAUGUAAACAUUAAGAUUCUGUUUGACCUGCAUGACCUCAGCAAUGAAAAUUCAGAAAUGCACGACUAAUGAAAUAUCCCAGUGCAGCACAAGGCUUCCUAAUCCCCAUACUACUAUUAAGUAAUUGUGAAUUACUGUACUAUAAUUGUGCGAGUAAACUAAAAGUCUAUUAGCAAUUUAACAGCAUGCAGAAGUCUCUCUCUCUCACACACACACACACACACACACACCAGAGCAUUAAACAGACACAAUUCACAAGUGGUCCUGAUGUCUCAGAGGACUUUUAAUAUGUAUGAGCAACAUCAAAGAGGAAUAUCCUGACAUGUGGCACCUCCAAAUGAUCAAGCUUAUUAUCACAUAUAUGCAAAUGUUUUCCAUUUUUGGUGCUCUCUGUUUGUAGAACUGCUGUGGAAAAUACAGAUGAUAGUUAGAAACACCACUGAUGAUAUCUAGUGAGCACUACCUGCAUGCAUUUUUGAUGUUCUUGUGCCCCAAGCUCAUUUUCUCUGAUAAACUCUGAAGAUACAUCAUGUGUUAUUUUCUAUGAGGAGAUAAUUAUGAAUUGGAUUUGUAUGUGAUUUGUAAUAAAAACCUUUGAAGAGAUGCUGCAAGUAAAUAAAUGAACCCACUGAUGAUGUCCUAUUCAGAUA